rnacentral:rRNA from 1 species
UUAGCAUGGAAUAAUGGAAUAGGACGUGUGGUUCUAUUUUGUUGGUAUGCUCGAUGCUCGUGAUGAUUAAUAGGGACAUGCUGCUCGUAGUAGUGAUAGUUGUCAGAGGUGAAAUUCUUGGAUUUAAUGCUCGUUAACUACUGCGAAAGCAUUUGCCAAGGAUGUUUUCAUUAAUCAGGAACAUGCUAUGCUCGUGAUAGUAGUAUCAGAUACCGAUGCUCGAUGCUCGUGAUAGUGUGCCGACUAGGGAUCGGACGGUGUUAUUUUUAGACCCGUUCGGCACCUUACGAGAAAUCAAAUGCUCGUAGAUCCAGGGGGAGUUAGAUGUCGCUCGAGAAACUUAAAGAAAUUGACGGAAGGGCAUGCUCAUGCUGCUGAUAGUCGGCUUAAUUUGACUCAACACGGGGAAUGCUCGCAGGUCCAGACACAAUGCUCGUAGACAGAUUGAGAGCUCUUUCUUGAUUUAUGCUCGUGAUAGUCGUGGCCGUUCUUAGUUGGUGGAGUGAUUUGUCUGCUUAAUUGCGAUAAAUGCUCGUGAUGUGGAUGGCUAAAUAGCCCGUAUUGCUUUGGCAGAUGCUCGUAGGGACAUGCUCGUUAUCGGCUCAAGCCGAUGGAUGCCUGAGGCAAUAACAGGUCUGUGAUGCCCUUAGAUAUUUUCGCGCACGCGCGCUACACUGAUGCUCGCUCCAG